AAUCGGCCGAGAUAAAAUGAGAAAAACAAGGUGAGGAUGGGUUUAGUCAAGCCUGUUCCCAAUCCGCUAGCGAUCCAGCAUAAAAAAAACCUAACCCGGGGUACGGAUUGGUUCGUGGCAUCGUAGAACUGUUGUUUUUGUGGUCUCCCUCCAUCCUCUUCAUUUUUCGGGGAAUUGGGUAGCUAAAAAUCCCGCAACAGCAGCGAGAGGAAUGUGGAAGCAAAAGAAAAGAAAAGAGAGAAAAGAAACUAGAUUUAUCACCUAUUCUUUGUGGUCAUCCAGAUUGCCGCAACCAAUGACACAGCUGUUCGACGGGAAAAAGGACUCAGCGACAGGGCCGUUGCAAUCCUGAGUCCGUCCGAAACUGCUGAAUGCGGGAGAUCAUCUCAAUUGAUGUUGUUUCGCAUUUCAAACAAAAGUAGAAACAGGACCAAGCAAGUCCAGCAAUUGCUGUGGCAAUGAAAGAAA
rnacentral:sRNA from 1 species